rnacentral:rRNA from 1 species
UACGUAGGGGGCAAGCGUUGUCCGGAUUUAUUGGGCGUAAAGAGCGUGUAGGCGGCCCGGUAAGUCCGCUGUGAAAGUCGGGGGCUCAACCCUCGAAUGCCGGUGGAUACUGUCGGGCUCGAGUCCGGAAGAGGCGAGUGGAAUUCCUGGUGUAGCGGUGAAAUGCGCAGAUAUCAGGAGGAACACCGAUGGCGAAGGCAGCUCGCUGGGACGGUACUGACGCUGAGACGCGAAAGCGUGGGGAGCAAACAGG